CUGGAGUCCAGACACUGGUGGUGGUGGUGAAAGGAAUAGCAGCAACCUGAUGAUGAACCAGGAACAACGCCGAUGCUGACUGGAGUCCAGACACUGGUGGUGGUGGUGAAAGGAAUAGCAGCAACCUGAUGAUGAACCAGGAACAACGCCGAUGCUGACUGGAGGUGACUGGGCUGGUUCACUUUUUACAAACACCAUAUAAAAAAGCUAUAACAAACCUUCCCAAUCAAGAAGAAAAUCUGCCCAAAAUCCAAGAGCUUUGCCUUCUUUCUGCUGACUAUUACUUCCUGCUGGACUGAGGAGUGGUGUGAACAGGCUUUCCAUGUCGGCAGCUGUAUGGUUUGUCUGAGAGUGGCACAAGAGUGGGGCCAACACACACGGAUGCUGCUGGAGUGCGAACAAAAAGUUCUUCUUUGAAUCUAGUAGGAACAAUGAUCAUAUGGCUUUAGUUACCCUGGUAACUAUACCAGAGUUUAAAGUUAAUAGUCUUCCUGGGUCUUAAAAUUCAAAACACUCAACCCACCAACAAGCUUUUCACUGAACAUGCUUUACCAUUUGUGAAUGUCACACAAUCUAAUCUGUAGUCACUUUUAAAGCAUUCAAGUGAUAAAUCAUGGGACUAUGGCCAGAAAGUUUAACAAGACUAAAGGGGUCGUGUCCAGCCUUAACCCUUAUUUUAAAGUGCUUAAAUUUGGCAGAAAGUGUGACUUAAUGUAAAACAAAAAUAAUACUUUCAUGAAAUUAUAUUGACAAAAAAAAUAAAAUCCAUGAAAAACAGACACCUGUAGAGUUGUACACCAGGUAACGGCUUUCUGGAGGUCCGUCAAAGAUCAGAUCAUUCAUCUGAAGCGUGAGGAAUUCCCGCCUCGGCCCGCCGGUGUCUAGGCCUUCUUCAUGGGAGCCAGCGUCAUCGGUAAACUUCACAAACAUGUCAUUCUCCUCAGAGUACGUGCAACGCUGAAAACCUCUGACAGCACCAUCCCAUACAUUAGAUCUGGACACGUGGAAUCUGUUGACUUUGCUGUGGUCAAUGGCAAGCGCCAAAUUUGCAAUUAUUUCAGGUGCACUUGUGUGCCUAGAACAAAAAGUAGAAAAGUUACAUUGUGUGUAAAAAAAGAUCCUCCAAGCAGAAUUGUAUAGCUUAUUAGAUGAACACAAAUGGAAUUAAGCCUUCCUUUCAUUCAAUAUUCAUAAAUUGUACUCAUAACACUUUCUGACUCCUCAGGACAGGAGGCAGUUAAUAAAACAAUAGGCUACAUUUAAGACAUUCAGUUCCUUACAACAAGACAUCUCUUUGGAUCUCUAGUUUUUCAACAACAGUUUUUCUUGGUACAGUAACUGGAAUUGUCGUUUCACCCUUCUUAAUACAGUGAUGUUUAUUUGUUUAAUGACUACUCGUACAAUGGAUGUGUAA
ensembl:lncRNA